CCUACGGGGGGCAGCAGUGAGGAAUAUUGCGCAAUGGGGGCAACCCUGACGCAGCGACGCCGCGUGAGUGAGGAAGGCCUUCGGGUCGUAAAGCUCUGUCAAAGGGAAAGAAGUGCAUGGUGGCUAAUACCUGCCAUGUUUGACGGUACCCUUAAAGGAAGCACCGGCUAACUCCGUGCCAGCAGCCGCGGUAAUACGGAGGGUGCAAGCGUUGUUCGGAAUUACUGGGCGUAAAGGGCGCGUAGGCGGUUUGAUAAGUCAGAUGUGAAAGCCCACGGCUUAACUGUGGAAGUGCAUUUGAUACUGUCAGACUUGAGUACCAGAGGGGAAAGUGGAAUUCCCGGUGUAGAGGUGAAAUUCGUAGAUAUCGGGAGGAAUACCGGUGGCGAAGGCGACUUUCUGGCUGGAUACUGACGCUGAGGCGCGAAAGCGUGGGGAGCAAACAGGAUUAGAUACCCUUGUAGUC
rnacentral:rRNA from 1 species